rnacentral:rRNA from 1 species
UGUAGUCUGCAACUCGACUACAUGAAGCUGGAAUCGCUAGUAAUCGCGAAUCAGAAUGUCGCGGUGAAUACGUUCCCGGGUCCUUGUACACACCGCCCGUCACACCAUGGGAGUUGGGAAUGCCCGAAGCCGGUGACCUAACCGAAAGGGAGGAGCCGUCGAAGGCAGGCUUGAUAACUGGGGUGAAGUCGUAACAAGGUAGC